ACUAGAAAUGGAAUCCACAACCCCNAGGGCA
rnacentral:tRNA from 1 species